AGUCGAGAAGUAGAGGUCGGAUUCGAACCACUGACCUCGCGGUCAGUAAAUUCGUGCUCUAACCGCUUGAGCCAUCUCGCC
rnacentral:tRNA from 11 species